GCGAUUGUAGUUCAACGGUAGAAUUAUCGAUUUCCAUCCGAUCUAUGCGGGUUCGAUUCCUGCCAAUCGUA